GACCGUGACAAUAGACACACUCUCCAACUUUUUUCAGAAGAAAACCCUAAAGCUGUGCAAACCCUCUCCCUCCCACGCUCUAUCCCACUCUCCACACUCCAUCGACAUGUUCCAACGAAGCUCCGAUCUGUUCACGUCCCUCUCUCGUUUCCCUGUCCUUCCCUCCCACUCUCCAUCGACCCGUUCCCUCUCUCCCACCGGCGCCGCUUGUUCCUGAAAGAUGAAAGGAGUAUUUUGACGGGAUCUUCUCAUCCACUCGCGGAUCUGGUUCCUCCUUCCCUUCCAUCGAAGUCCUUUCCUCUCACGUCCCCCUGUUCUCGGUUCCUGUCCGUGUAGAAUCGAAUCAAUCCAGAUUUGAUGGAUGAGGAGAGAGGUGAGAUCAAUGGCGAGCGCGGGUACUCGAUGGACUCCACGGAAUCAAGGUGGGGCUUUGACGCUGAUUUGUGAUUGAGAGGCCGACGAAACGGUGCUCCUGUGCAGCUGCUUGAUUCCGACGAGGAGGAUGAUGGCACCACCGAGCAGAGACUCAUUCGCACUGGUCCUCGAGUUGAUUCCUUCGAUGUUGAAGCUCUUGACGUCCCUGGUGCUCACAGAAAUGACUAUGAGAUGGAAAAACAUUUAAUUUUUCUGUGUGUUUGCGCGCGAGUUGCGAGAAGCUCCGCCUAACACCCUCGCAUCACCCUUCUCCGUCAUGGCCAUGGCCAGCCACCACCUCGUCGUCACGCUCUCACUCAAUGGUCAAAAGAGUUUGAUUUCAUCAUUUAUCAUUUUUUCAUUCAGAGCAUGGCAAUGGACGGUGAAUAAGGUGAGCCAUUAUCUCUCCCUUCUCUAUUUGUAGCAUGCUCUUUUAUUGAGGUUCUUAAAUGACAUCUGAUUUCAUUUUGUAUUUGGUUUGUGAGUUUCUAUUCUACACCUAUUAUGCGUGCAAGUGUAAGAAUAGAAAGCACAGGUCCAUGGACGCUUUGAGAAAAUAAGCAACAAAAAGUUUAACUUCUUCUACUUCGUUUGAGCGAGCAUCGCUGUAUGGUUCUAGGAAUAUUCUUGACCAUCACAGAGACAUGAGGAUGGGCGUAGAUAACAUGAGCUAUGAGGAACUUCUUGCACUUGGUGAGAGGAUUGCCCAUGUUAACACAGGGUUGUCUGAAGACUCGCUCACCAAGAAACAGUGUAAUCUUUCUGAAGCUGAUUUCAUCCAAGGUUACUGAAUCACCCUUAUAAGGCAAGUCUUCAUGAGAUCAACGAGGAACCCAGUUGCCCAUCUCCUUUAAUUUUUGAUUUCGAGCAGGCAACUCUUGACGAAGAAGAUAUAAAGGAGCUCAUAUGGAAGGAGUCUCUGAACUUCUGCUAGGAUCAGGUGCAGGAAUAAUAGUCUUGGCAAAAUUGCCUUUUUCUGUCAUUAUAUUCUAUGGAAUUUCAUAAUGCAUGUUUCGCAAGUUGAGUGGUAAAUGAUCUACUUCUGUAAAACAUGUUUCGCGAGUUGAAUAGGUUC